rnacentral:rRNA from 1 species
UACGGAGGGUGCAAGCGUUAUCCGGAUUUACUGGGUUUAAAGGGUGCGUAGGUGGGUCUGUAAGUCAGUGGUGAAAUCUCCGGGCUUAACCCGGAAACUGCCAUUGAUACUAUAGAUCUUGAAUAUCCUGGAGGUGAGCGGAAUAUGUCAUGUAGCGGUGAAAUGCUUAGAUAUGACAUAGAACACCAAUUGCGAAGGCAGCUCACUACGGGAUCAUUGACACUGAGGCACGAAAAGCGUGGGGAUCAAACAGG